GACGAACGCUGGCGGCGUGCUUAACACAUGCAAGUCGAACGGAAAGGCCCUGCUUUUGCGGGGUGCUCGAGUGGCGAACGGGGGAGUAACACGUGAGUAACCUGCCCUUGACUGUGGGAUAAAUUCAGGAAACUGGGGCUAAUACCGGAUAGGAGCUCCUGCUGCACGGGGGGGGUUGGAAAGUUUCGGCGGUUGGGGAUGGACGCGCGGCUUAUCAGCUUGUUGGUGGGGUAGUGGCUUACCAAGGCUUUGACGGGUAGCCGGCCUGAGAGGGUGACCGGCCACAUUGGGACUGCGAUACGGCGCAGACUCCUACGGGAGGCAGCGGUGGGGAAUAUUGCACAGUGGGCGGGAGCCUGCUGCGGCAACGCCGCGUGCGGGAUGACGGCCUUCGGGUUGUAAACCACUUUCGCCUGUGACGAAGCGUGAGUGACGGUAAUGGGUAAAGAAGCACCGGCUAACUACGUG
rnacentral:rRNA from 1 species